UACGUAGGCAGCGAGCGUUGUUCGGAGUUACUGGGCGUAAAGAGUGCGUAGGCGGUUUUCUAAGUUUGGUGUGAAAUCUCCCGGCUUAACUGGGAGGGUGCGCCGAAGACUGGAAGGCUUGAGUAUGGGAGAGGUAAGCGGAAUUCCUGGUGUAGCGGUGAAAUGCGUAGAUAUCAGGAGGAACACCGGUGGCGAAGGCGACUACCUGGCCUGUUCUUGACGCUGAGGCGCGAAAGCUAGGGGAGCAAACGGG
rnacentral:rRNA from 1 species